ACGAACGCUGGCGGCAUGCCUAACACAUGCAAGUCGAACGAUGGCUUCGGCCAUAGUGGCGCACGGGUGCGUAACGCGUGGGAAUCUGCCCUUGGGUACGGAAUAACAGUGAGAAAUUACUGCUAAUACCGUAUGAUGACGUAAGUCCAAAGAUUUAUCGCCCAAGGAUGAGCCCGCGUAGGAUUAGCUUGUUGGUGAGGUAAAAGCUCACCAAGGCGACGAUCCUUAGCUGGUCUGAGAGGAUGAUCAGCCACACUGGGACUGAGACACGGCCCAGACUCCUACGGGAGGCAGCAGUGGGGAAUAUUGGACAAUGGGCGAAAGCCUGAUCCAGCAAUGCCGCGUGAGUGAUGAAGGCCUUAGGGUUGUAAAGCUCUUUUACCCGGGAAGAUAAUGACUGUACCGGGAGAAUAAGCCCCGGCUAACUCCGU
rnacentral:rRNA from 1 species